rnacentral:rRNA from 1 species
AAAUUGAAGAGUUUGAUCAUGGCUCAGAUUGAACGCUGGCGGCAGGCCUAACACAUGCAAGUCGAACGGUAGCACAGAGAGCUUGCUCUUGGGUGACGAGUGGCGGACGGGUGAGUAAUGUCUGGGAAACUGCCCGAUGGAGGGGGAUAACUACUGGAAACGGUAGCUAAUACCGCAUAACGUCGCAAGACCAAAGUGGGGGACCUUCGGGCCUCACACCAUCGGAUGUGCCCAGAUGGGAUUAGCUAGUUGGUGAGGUAAUGGCUCACCAAGGCGACGAUCCCUAGCUGGUCUGAGAGGAUGACCAGCCACACUGGAACUGAGACACGGUCCAGACUCCUACGGGAGGCAGCAGUGGGGAAUAUUGCACAAUGGGCGCAAGCCUGAUGCAGCCAUGCCGCGUGUAUGAAGAAGGCCUUCGGGUUGUAAAGUACUUUCAGCGAGGAGGAAGGC